rnacentral:rRNA from 1 species
UACGGAGGAUGCAAGCGUUAUCCGGAUUCAUUGGGUUUAAAGGGUGCGUAGGCGGACUAUUAAGUCAGUGGUGAAAGUUUGCGGCUCAACCGUAAAAUUGCCUUUGAUACUGGUAGUCUUGAGUACAUUUGAGGUAGGCGGAAUGUGAUGUGUAGCGGUGAAAUGCUUAGAUAUAUCACAGAACACCGAUUGCGAAGGCAGCUUACUAAACUGUAACUGACGCUGAGGCACGAAAGCGUGGGUAUCGAACAGG